UCUGGACAAAUGAUUCUGUCUCUGCUCUUUGUGACGUCCCUGAUCUUUGUGGCGUCAUGCCUUUCUAUGGAGUCUGUUUAUGAACUGACGUCAUUUGUGACGCUUUGCCUUUGAUCUUGAAGAAUCAUUGCGUCUCUGAUCUUGGUGUGACGUCAUGCCAUUCUAUGCGCCAGUGACGUCACCGCAGCUGCGACGAGGCUGUCCCAUUUAGAAAACUCCUUCCAAUGUAAAAGUACAGAAAUGAAUAAAUAAAAGAAUAAAUACAUGAUUGUGCAGCACCGAGGACCGCAAACGCACCACGUUCACCUCCGCGGCCGCCACUAUAACGUCACACCCAGGCACCCAGUGGACGCCGAGGUUUCAAGACUGUUUGGUCCACACUUUGGAGGGAGAAGGACGACAAGGAGGUGAACUGUGCGCGUGCACAGCUUCAUUCGUACACUCACUCUUUCUGUUGUAUUGAGGACAAACCGAUAUGCCAGAGAUAGACUUGCUGCUGCAGGACUUGGGGAAACACGUCUUACAUUCCAAGGUAGUCAUACUGAUCCAGAUGACUUUAGAGAAUUUAUUUUAGAGGCAUAUCAAACACUCAGACAAAGGGCAGGAUUUGAGUUGCUCAAAAUCUCUGGAACAACACGGUGGCCAACUGAUCAUCAUACCAUGUCCCAAUGAGGGUUACCAUGUGAGACAUUUGAAAGAUCCACAAACACAGAUUGGUCAUGCUACAAUUUUCAUCCGACCACUCCAAAGAAACCUGAAUCUGGACCCUGUAAGAUCCUCACUUUUAAAUUGGUGUUCCCAUAUGAAAAUGGCAGAGUGUGAACAGUUACAUAAGUAUAGCUUGUGUUACAUUUUAAAAUGAUCUUGUUUACAGGCAUGUCAACCAGAAUACAGUUAAUGAGCUAGUUGGACCACCUCAGAAAUGUGUGACGUGUGGAGAGGAGUUCCCUUUGACAGGAAUCAAGGCUCACAGUGAUGAAUGCGUGAGGUAUCGCUCUACAGAACUAAAACGUCACAUUUGUCAAGCACUCAAGGAGUCGUACAUCAGACAUUAAGCAUUAGGCUCUGGAGUCUGCCAAAAGAUGUAAAGCAUUUUGAAUGUGGAUGAUCCUGUAUGAUCCUGAAUAUUGGUCUUGAGGGAAAGUUGAAUUUGAAUGGAUUUAUUCUAUUCUAUUUAUAUGACCAUUCUUUUCUAGUUGCAGUGUUUUUGUGAAUGUGUAAUGUAAUAUAAAAUAUACUGGCCCCAAUAACAAAACGUGCUUCUCUUUACCCAAGACCAUCACAGAGCAGUGGUGAGGUAGAAAUUGUGGUGACCACAGAAAGUGCCUCCUGAAGUGAAGGUAGAUUUGUGAGCAUGUUGACAAGACUACAGGGAAGUGAGACAACAAGGGCCAGCAACACAAACUACUGCGUGCCACCUCAGGGACAUGUGGCUGCUCCUGAGAUAGUUGACCUAGAUCCCAUGAGGAGAGAGGCUUCUCAGGUGUGUUACAUCAUUUAAACAUUACAUCAUUUAUUGCAAUAAAUUGUUGCUCUCUACAUAUCAAUUCAUCCAGUAUUAAUUGGAAUAAUUUAAAAACUUUUUUUAGAUUGGAAAAUUCUUUCAAAUCCCAGUGAGGCAGCAAAGAGAUUCAAAGAAGACAUUUUAAGCCAGCAUGCAACUGGAAGAUCAUUCUAUCUUACCAUGGAUUUUGGAGACAGUGCAGAGGACAGUCCUUUCUUUUUAUAAGAGGGCUAAUGUUGAGUGGGCUUGCCCCUUGACAUGCACACUCAAGGGAGAUCCAGCAAUUGGUGAUGGCGUGACUCUCCAUCUCUUUGCAACCAUCAUGUCCAAACUUCAGUAUGGUUUUGAGAUGAAUUUUGUGGGCCAUGCCUUGGAGGACUCAGCCCAGCUAUCCUGCAUGUGCUCUUUGGUGGAUCCCCAGAAGAAGCCAUAAUA